rnacentral:lncRNA from 1 species
CCCACUGGGGAAGGAUCCCUUUUUGGGAAUUGCUCCUUGGUGAAGCUUUCCCCUUUGAACCUCGAAUCUUCUGAUACAGGUGUUCAUCUGGCUCACAAGCCAAAACAUCCUGGGAGAGGCUCUUGCAGCCACGUUUGCAGCCCAUCAGAUAAGGUUCGUGCCUCGGAGCAGGCGUGCUGCUGCAAGGCUCCUGCUCUGGUUGGGCCAAGGACAUCAGGCUGGGGCUUCAAGGCCAGAUCCCAAGUGUAAAUGUAAAAAUCCAGGUUGUGUCAACCAAAUGCCUCACCAUUUGGCAUGCAUUUCACCUCACAGAUCUUCCUAGAGACAUGUGCUCUGUUUACCCAAUAGGCAAAGCGUUUUCCUUUCCAAAGUCAUACCAAAAGCCCACAGAAGUAUUCAACCCAAGGAGCAACCUCUGCUGGGGAGCCCAGUGGAACAGCCAAGGGGGAACAGAGUGAUGAGGAUGGGUGAAGCUAUAUUCUCAGUAGCCUGGUGACACCAGAGCACCCGAUGGCUGCUGCACCUCCCAAGGGUUGCACUGUCCUGUGUGCAUGUGUGUCAACCCCAGGGACUCCUCCCUGCUGCAGGAGCCUGGCUUUUCUCCUUCCAUUGAAAAUGCUUCACACUGACUUUCUGGUGUUUCUCUAAUCCUUCUGGCACUGUGAGUACUUGCAAUUUUUUUCCCAAAGAGCUGAAUCUAGUCACUUUUUUUUCCUCCAGGCUUCAGGGGAAACGGAAAGGUACUUAACUUAUGUUUUAUUCAUUGCAGUCACUAUCUCUUGUUAAUUUACUUACAUUAUUUACAGAAUUUUAAAGUAUUUUGUAUGUCAGGCAGCAUCCCAGGCCCUAUAAAAUGCUAAUUUUCCAACUGUAUCAGAGGUAAACAUCUUUCCUGGGCCUCUAGGUAGACAAAGGGUCAUCCCCAUUCUUAAUUUAUUUUUCAUGAUUCUAUAUAUAAACGCCAUAAAGCCUGCUUGAAUGGCAGAUCUCAAACAACCCACUUCUCUAUGUGGUUAAAUUUUAUGAAGGUCCAUUGUGAUUGUGUUACUGGUACAAUAAAAUUCAUUCUUGAUCUAGUGCCC